rnacentral:piRNA from 1 species
UGGGAACCUAGGGCAUGCCUGCACUGCAU